GAUGAACGCUAGCUACAGGCUUAACACAUGCAAGUCGAGGGGCAGCAUGAACUUAGCUUGCUAAGUUUGAUGGCGACCGGCGCACGGGUGAGUAACACGUAUCCAACCUUCCGUUUACUCAGGGAUAGCCUUUCGAAAGAAAGAUUAAUACCUGAUAGUAUGGUGAGAUUGCAUGAUAGCACCAUUAAAGAUUUAUUGGUAAACGAUGGGGAUGCGUUCCAUUAGGUAGUAGGCGGGGUAACGGCCCACCUAGCCGACGAUGGAUAGGGGUUCUGAGAGGAAGGUCCCCCACAUUGGAACUGAGACACGGUCCAAACUCCUACGGGAGGCAGCAGUGAGGAAUAUUGGUCAAUGGGCGAGAGCCUGAACCAGCCAAGUAGCGUGAAGGAUGAAGGUCCUACGGAUUGUAAACUUCUUUUAUACGGGAAUAAAGUAUCCUACGUGUAGGAUUU
rnacentral:rRNA from 1 species